rnacentral:lncRNA from 1 species
UUUGAUCACUAAUUAACUCAAUUUGAUUGAGUAAUUAUUUUUGGAUCAAGUCCAAUUGAAUUGGAUUCAGUUGAGUUUGACCCGAUUAGGUUAAGAGUUGACCUAAUCGUCGAGAUGGUUUGGUCCCUGAUUUGAUCAGGGGUUGGGCUUAGUCAAUUCCUGAUUUGAUUAAGAUUUUAUUGAGCCUAAUAAAGCCUAAUUAAGUUGGGUUUAAAUUAGUCUAAUUGGGCCUAGCUUAUUUUAAUUAAAUUGGUUCAAUUAGGUUAGUUUAAAAUGAGAAACCACCUUGACCCAAACUCCCUGCGCCACCUCACUUCUUCUGCGCCCAUUUGAAUUCACGAGAAGGAACUUCUCAUGAAUUUUCUCCCACGCCCAUCCUUUCUAUGCCAAAUGGAUAGAUAAAGAUGAUUGGUUGGCCAUUCAAAUCCAAAUAAAGUUUGAAUUUAAAUGGGCAACCAACCAACUCUAUGCGCCCCCUCUUAUUUUGUGCGCCACUUUAUUUACACGAGAAAGAGUUUCUCGUGUAAACUCUCCAUGCACAAAUGAUGCCACGCCCCUUCUCUUCUCAUGCCCAAGUGGAUAGGGAUGAGUUGGUUUGCAUUUGAAUUCAAAUAUGCAACCACU